GAUGAACGCUAGCUACAGGCUUAACACAUGCAAGUCGAGGGGCAGCAUGGUCUUAGCUUGCUAAGGCCGAUGGCGACCGGCGCACGGGUGAGUAACACGUAUCCAACCUGCCGUCUACUCUUGGACAGCCUUCUGAAAGGAAGAUUAAUACAAGAUGGCAUCAUGAGUCCGCAUGUUCACAUGAUUAAAGGUAUUCCGGUAGACGAUGGGGAUGCGUUCCAUUAGAUAGUAGGCGGGGUAACGGCCCACCUAGUCUUCGAUGGAUAGGGGUUCUGAGAGGAAGGUCCCCCACAUUGGAACUGAGACACGGUCCAAACUCCUACGGGAGGCAGCAGUGAGGAAUAUUGGUCAAUGGGCGAGAGCCUGAACCAGCCAAGUAGCGUGAAGGACGACUGCCCUAUGGGUGGUAAACUCCUUUUAUAAAGGAAUAAAGUCGGGUAUGGAUACCCGUUUGCAUGUACUUGAUGAAUAAGGAUCGGCUAACUCCGUG
rnacentral:rRNA from 1 species